rnacentral:rRNA from 1 species
GACGAACGCUGGCGGCGUGCUUAACACAUGCAAGUCGAACGAAGUGGCGAACGGGUGAGUAAUACGUGGGUAACCUGCCCUCCUUUUGGGGAUAAGCCUUGGAAACGGGGUCUAAUACCGAAUAAAGGGGGAUGGGAUUGCGGCCUAUCAGAUUGUUGGUGGGGUGUUGGCCUACCAAGGCGGUGACGGGUAGCCGGCCUGAGAGGGUGACUGGCAGCAAUGGAAGUGAGAUACGGCCAAGGCUCCUACGGGGGGCAGCGGUGGGGGAUUUUGCACAAUCGUCGAGAGCCUGAUGCAGGGACGCCGCGUGGGGGAUGGGGGCUUACGGGUUUGAAAGCUGGUUCGCAAUCGAUCGGGUAGGUGGAGAAGAAGCGCCGGCUAACUACGUGCCAGCAGCCGCGGUAAUUC